UAAAUAUAAUGUUUUGACAUGUUCAAAAUUGGUCACAUUUUGCGGACAAAAUACCCAUAGUUGGAAGCAUGAGGAGUUGCCAAUGCGAAUUCAUGUUGUUCGGCCUCUUAUCCGUAAAGUAUGUGCACAGAUAUUUAUGUGCUUUCGACGGUUAUUUCAUGCUGGUAUAUGAAAUGAUUUACUUUUAAGCCGCGUUCAAAUAGCUACUGGUUAUUUAAAAUUGUGGUUACACUUUGACCUUUUGAACGCUUUACGUCAUAAACUAAAAAGACACUCACACGCCAAGGUCCCGAGCGCAAGCGAGCUAAUGUAAACCAUACUUGAAUGUGUGAAGGUUACUUUGACAGCUUACGACGCCUUUAGAUUUCCUAUACGGUGUUCUUGGCGUUCAAAAGGUUAAAAAACCUACAUUUAUUUGAAUGCUACUUAAAACUCGCUAUUAUUUACUUUAUAUUAAAGUAUUAUCUUAGGUUAAGGUCGCCUUUUCGUCUGGAAGCACGUCCAUGAUAUAGGCAGCGAACGUUAACUUUACUUUGCUGUUAAUAUUGUCUUAGUAAAAAGGGAAACGUCGUCCAUUUAUUG